rnacentral:snRNA from 1 species
GGUGCUUGCAUUAUAAACUAAAAUUGGAAGGAUACAGAGAAGAUUAGUAUGGCCUUUAUGCAAGGAUGACAUGCAAAUGUGUGAAGCCUUCCAUCAUUUU